rnacentral:rRNA from 1 species
GAUGAACGCUGGCGGCGUGCCUAAUACAUGCAAGUCGAGCGAACGGACGAGAAGCUUGCUUCUCUGUUGUUAGCGGCGGACGGGUGAGUAACACGUGGAUAACCUACCUAUAAGACUGGGAUAACUUCGGGAAACCGUAGCUAAUACCGGAUAAUAUUUUGAACCGCAUGGUUCAAAAGUGAAAGACGGUCUUGCUGUCACUUAUAGAUGGAUCCGCGCUGCAUUAGCUAGUUGGUAAGGUAACGGCUUACCAAGGCAACGAUGCAUAGCCGACCUGAGAGGGUGAUCGGCCACACUGGAACUGAGACACGGUCCAGACUCCUACGGGAGGCAGCAGUAGGGAAUCUUCCGCAAUGGGCGAAAGCCUGACGGAGCAACGCCGCGUGAGUGAUGAAGGUCUUCGGAUCGUAAAACUCUGUUAUUAGGGAAGAACAUAUGUGUAAGUAACUGUGCACAUCUUGACGGUACCUAGUCAGAAAGCCACGGCUAACUACGUG